GGCCAUAGUCGAACCCUCGACUCUGAGACAGACGUGCUCAUCACUUUUCCACCGUGCUGCUUGUUAUUCCUCCUUACAUUAAUUGUUAAAUACUGGUCAUUUUGUUCAAUAUCAACAGGGUUUACGAUAUAAUGUUUUGUGGGUACGAAUCGCACGCAAUGAACUAGUGCACAAUCCAACCACAGGAGUAAAGGUAUGGGAUUGUUCUGUUUUUCUAACUGUUUUUCAUUUGAUAAUUUUUUUAUUUUUGGCAUGCACUUUCCAUACAAACAUUUUCUGUAACUAUUCAUGCGCAUAUACACUAGGUUAGUUGUAGAGACUGUGUGAUCCGACUCGCGUUAGUCGUAGUCGUAUGAACAGCACUCCCUAUAUUUCCCAAAUCACCUUUUUAUUUAUUUAUUUACAAAUAAAGGACGCCCAACAUCUGCCUCGAAAUCUCCAGCCACUAUCUGUGGAAAUACGGUUCAAAUAGUGAAUGUAAAAAUGUUGUGGGUUAAAAUCUCAACUUCUUUGCAAAAUGAUAACAAUAGUGUGCAGCCAAUCAAGUUGAGAACAGAGUCAAAGUACAGCCAGAAGAGCAAUAGAAUAAAGGGAGCGCUGGACAAAAGGGUAAGUAUAUGAGGUCAUAUUAGAGAGAGAGAAAAAAGGUGAGUAGGUGUGAGUGAGUGGUGAAUGAUGGACAAAAAGAGGAAGCAAAGAAAAAAAAUUCUGUGGACAAAAAAAGGAGACAAGUGAUCGGUUGUGAAAUGUUAAAGACAUGCACGCGCACACACACACACGCACACUGACCCAAGUGGCUGUCCUUUUGCUGAACCUCCACACACAUACAUAUCAACACAAAUGGCGUUCAGGUUCAGGACACCCCCUUGGGAUGAGCUGUCAUCGCCAUGGCUACAGUCUGAGUUCAGCGUUAGGGCAGAAAACACAUACACACACACACACACACAAACUAACACACGCUAAACCCACACGCAUUGCAUCUACUGUCCAGCUACACAUGCUUGUGAUAAACGCUAACAUGUAAUUUCUGUGCACGUGAGGUCUUUCCCACUAUUUCUCUCUGUUUCCGGUCAGUCUCUUAGGGAAUCUGUCCCUUCUUUAGUUGAUUCUUCGAUACUUCCUGUGCCAGAGUGCGGUCGGCAGGUUCUGGCAUCCCUGGUACCAUCGUCGCAUCUCGCUGUCUGUCAGUGGUGGUGUGGCGUUGCAUGGAGCUCCUGCCAUGGUGAUGUUUAAGAGGUCGGCCCACUGGUCCAGCAGGUGGGAAGCACCCGCACUCUGCAAUCAGGUUGUUCGUAUUGUUAUAAGGAAAAUUUCGGUGGGCUUGAAAUUGAAGGUUUCCUUGAAAAUAGUGUACGAAUGAUGAGAGCCAUAACACCAAAUAUAUAACGAAUUGAGGACUGUAAUAUUUGUUGACAUAUCAAAGCAUGUUAAAAAAAAAAAAAAAAAAAAACUUAAAGUAGUAGUAGUAAUAGUAAACAAGUUAUUCUCAACUGGUGAGUCAAGAAGCCAUUGUGGGUGGGUCUCAGACAGGUAGUAGAGAGACAUAAUUUAAACUGUAAAAACUGUUAGUUGCUUUAGUCUGCAGCCUUCCUAAAAACGAGGCCACAAUAUUGAUAUUGAUGUUGAAAAUAUGAUAUUCACAUGUUUUCAAAGGCUAUUUUUGAACAAUGUAUGUCCUUAAUUUUUCCUACAAUCUGUAAUAGUGGUUCGCGACUUGGCAACAAUAGAAAAAUGCAUGUCCAGGGUGACAACAGUUGAGAACCAAUGUUCUAAUCCAAUGAUGUUACGUAUCAUUACUUUUCUUUUUCUGAUCAUUCAGAAAACGUCUGAUGAAAAAAAAGGGAAAAGUGUUCCACGUGGUCCAGCAAGCAGGUUGACGGUCCAAUGUGAGCCCAGCUGCCGUCCUCCCAGCCCGUACUCACCCUCUGGCUCUGGUAGUUAUGCGUCUGCAUUUUCUGGCUCUGGAUCAGAACUACAUUGAGAUGUUUCUGGGAGCCUCGCAGCCUUUUGAACAGAACGCCGCUGUAGCUCUGAUCCACGAACAACAAAACACGAGUUGCCCUGCAGCCGGCCAGAUCAGUCAACAGCUCGCUGACUGAGUAGCGCUCCUUCAGAUCAGCCUUGAAAGGAGAAACAGAUGGAGCUGAAACGCAAUCAACUAGACUCACCCAGGUAAAUGCCAUCCAGGUGGGAGCAUCUCUUCUUUGUCACGUUGAGGUCCACGUAGAAAAGGCCAACCGGGUGUCCAAAGUUCUCGCCUGGACUCGGGUCCAGCACCAGCACCGCGUCGUGGGUCAUGGAGGCAGGUAAAGGCGGUUGGUACCUGUGGCGGCUCUCCCUCCCGUUCACCAUUGGGCUGAUGCUGAAAGCACCCCGGAAUUUGGAGCUGAUCAUCCCAUUGGAGGAGUAAGAGUCCGGGAGGAUGGCCAGAACUUUGUCAGAGGCACCUGGGUCACAAAGUAGAUCAAUCAUGUUCAUCCAUCCAUUUUCUAUGCAGCUUCUCCUGUACAGAGUCACAGGGAGCUGGAACCUACUGGGAUCUGCCAGUUGUUUGUAAUACUGUACACAUACCAGAGGUGUUUUAAUGCGAAAUUUGAACAUGACCUGAGUGUGUCCCAUGCACAAAAAUCCGUUCAAAAUUCAAAAAACAUUUUUGUCAUACGAGUGGGUGUCCAGAAAAUGCCCCUCUGACAACUACUUCUGUUUGACCCACGUUUGUCACCGCUUUGUCCAUAUUUGGCUAUGUCUGCCCCCUUUCAUUUGAUUGGUUGCCUCCGUGUAGAAGACCUACUUGUGAGAACACGCGUGUUUGUCAUGUUGACAGCGCUGGCUCGGGAGCAGAGAGGUAGGUGGAGAUCUUUACUGGUAAUCUAGAUAAGGUUGAGCAAUUCGAAUUACCUAAUUUCAGAAAAAAAAUCUGCAACUCAGGAAUGCGUGGAUGAUUUUAAUUCAUAUUUCACGUUUACUGAGGCCCCAUAGAGACAAUAUUGUUUCCCGAGUACUAGAAAAAGUUGAUUUGGUUUAAAAAAAAAAAAAGGGAAAAAAAGCACCUUUAAUUGUUCCAUACAUUUUAUACAAUUUUAUUUUAUAUUGGCUUGUAUGGAUGUUACAGUACAGUAUACAGUAACCCAAAUUUCCCAUGAAUCCCCUUAAGAGAAAGCACGACUUCUGAGAAAGCACGGCCUGCCACCGGAGCUGCUGAGACAGUUCUACACAGCAGCCAUCGAAUCAGUCCUGUGUUCUUCCAUCACAGUCUGGUUUGGUGCUGCUACAAAAAAGGACAAACUCCGACUGCAACGGACAAUCAAAACUGCUGAAAGGAUUGUCGGUACCCAC